rnacentral:lncRNA from 1 species
CUUCUUCUAAUGUCUGAGUCCCUCAUGUUCUCACAUGGAUAACUUCUUUUCACAGCUCCACCACCAGACAUGUAAUCACCGGGUUGUCAUUGCUACCUUAGUUUUUGAUCAUUGUCAUUAACAAUGUUAAACAAUGAUCAAAAACUUUCGUAGUUUCCCGACAUAGCAAAAUGAAGUUAAUGUACUGACUUGAUUCUCAAAAUUUGGUUGGGCUGGGCGCUAGUGACAAUUGUAUAUGAGCUCUGCUGUUUGGAUGAGAAGUUGAAUCGAGAAACCUUCAACUGGAAGGUGAAGGUGCGGCCGAAAUUUUUUUUUGAUGCAUUAUAGAAGGGCCGAACUCCGGGGGUCUUGGAGCCCUGCGUUCUGGUGAGGGAUAAUAUUUCAGUUACUUGAAUAUGCAGUUUACGUAAAAUACGGACAGAGAAAUGUGCGUAAGUUGGUAAGUGUUACCAUUUGUUGGGAGACCUCUCCAACCCUGGUAUUUGUCAACUAACUUAUUACAGUAUCAAAAGCUACAAACUCAGUUGAGUCAGAUGCAUCGGAGACUGUCACAUUAACAAUUUCAGAAUGUGACAUAUAAUGUCUAUAAAAGUUUACUAUCAACAAAGCUGGAAGGAGGAAGAAUUUUGUGCUGAUAAAACAUUACCUCACAACCCCAAUUGAAUUCUCUUUAUUACAUGAAACGCAAGUGAAGGAGGAGAAGCCUCGUUACAGUAUGCGAAAAAUCUUAGUGCACGAAAUGUAGCACCAUCAGUAGAUGGUAUCAAUGCCACUUACUACCCCAGUGCAUAGGAACUUAACGUUCUACAACAAUGUAAAUUAAGAGAGGCAAAGGUUAUCUUGUGUUUACCAGUGGGGAGGCGUUCAAAACAAAGGAAUUAAGCUCAGCCAAUGUUACCGACUCUAUCUUCCUCAAUGUCUGACGUGACAAUUUUGAAUCUCGCUCUUUCUUCUCCGGCCGAUCUCUCAUCUUUACCACCUCAUGAUGAUGUCCACGGGUCUCUGACAGAUAGGAACAAAGCAAAUAAAAAAAAUCAUCAGAUAAGCUUAAAUAUUUGAAGGAGGAGGUCGAAGCAAUCAAUACCUGAGAAUUUCCGUCUCUGUUUUGUAAUUCCAUUUGAAGAAGGCACGAUGGUAGAUGAUCGUCAAGCUUCCCUGGUUCAACAAAUAAAACAAUAUGCGUGAAUUCUUUUGUUACACCCGAGUUCUAGCUUCCCAACUCCGAGCAAUUGUGCUACUUCUCACCAAAUAUGUUUCAUAUGAAGCUAUCUUUUGAGUAUCCUCGGGUUUCAACAAAUAAAACAAUAUGCGUGAAUUCUUUUGUUACACCCGAGUUCUAGCUUCCCAACUCCGAGCAAUUGUGCUACUUCUCACCAAAUAUGUUUCAUAUGAAGCUAUCUUUUGAGUAUCCUCGGGUUUAAAUUUGCCAUUUUGUACUGUUGUUUUGCUGCAUACAUCAAAUAAACAAAAAUCAAUUCUCAGGAAAAUAAGAAUUUCAAAUCAGAAACAGCCAAUGAAAUAUAUUGUCAUUAACAUGUAUAUAGAAAAUAUCUUUCCCACACUCCUCAUCACAGAUACUGAGCUCAAAAUACUCUUGCUCCUCAGACUCUUCCUUAGGUAUCUCAGUCUCAUCUACAUGU